GCCGGGCGCGGUGGCUCACGCCUGUAAUCCCAGCACUUUGGGAGGCUGAGGCGGGUGGAUCAUGAGGUCAGGAGAUCGAGACCAUCCUGGCUAACACGGUGAAACCCCGUUUCUACUAAUAAUACAAAAAAAANNNNNNNNNNUUUUUUUUGUAUUAUUAGUAGAAACGGGGUUUCACCGUGUUAGCCAGGAUAGUCUCGAUCUCCUGACCUCAUGAUCCACCCCUCUCAG
rfam:Chlorocebus sabaeus isolate 1994-021 chromosome 1, whole genome shotgun sequence.